UGAUCCGGAUAUGUUGGAAGUUGGUAAUGGAGGCAUGACUUAUCAGGAAUAUCGUGCUCAUUUUAGCAUAUGGGCUCUGAUGAAGUCUCCUCUUUUGAUCGGUUGUGAUGUUCGAAACAUGAGUAAAGAAACUUCAGAAAUUCUUAGCAAUAAGGAGGUUAUUGCAGUAAACCAAGAUCCUCUUGGGGUCCAGGGAAGAAAGGUUAAAGUUUUUGGAAAGGAUGGUUGCCUUCAGGUUUGGGCAGGUCCUCUAUCUGGAAGCCGCUUGGCUGUCGUUCUAUGGAAUCGAUGUUCGGUUGCAUCAAUGAUCACCACGGAUUGGAACGCACUUGGGCUUAAACCUGACACCAGUGUCUCUGUAAGAGACUUG
rnacentral:misc_RNA from 1 species